rnacentral:rRNA from 1 species
GGGUAGCCUCUGGAAACGGAGAAUAAUACCCUAUGAAAUUACAUUCUCGCAUGAGGAAAUAAUCAAAAUGUUUAGUGGUGUAGGAUGGACUUGCGUCUGAUUAGCUAGUUGGUGAGAUAAAAGCUCACCAAGGCAACAUCAGUAGCCGGCUUGAGAGAGUGUACGGCCACAUUGGGACUGAGACACGCCCAG